rnacentral:lncRNA from 1 species
GUCAGUUCUUAUUGCUGAUGGUGAAGGAUAGAAGAUCUUGUCAAUCACGGCACCCGAAUCAAGUGUUUAAUUUCCAGACACGCAAAGUGCCUUCAUGCAUGGUUUAAAUUGUUUCAGCAAAAAAUGUCAAAGAAAAAGUUGCAAAACAUGUCAUCUAGAAAGGAGGAUAAGCUGUCUCCUAUCCUAACUCCUAUACAUGGAUCGAUGAUUCCUCCUUUGGGCAGGAAAGAUGAUGAACAUAAAAAGGAAACAGUAAUUUUUUGAAACUAUAAAAAGACGCAGUGAAACUGAUACAUGAAGUACUAAUUCAUGCAUGGCCAUCCUUUUAUUGGGUAAAAUUUCCAGCGCUUCACAUCUGCAAAGGAAAAAAAACAUGAAGAAGAACGAGAAGUUAUUGGAAAAUUAAAACAAACAAAAAGUUAUAUAUACUGCAUGGAAUGGACAGGGAAGAGAGGGAGAGAGGAGCUCCCUUCAAUCCAAGCACGAGGGAAAGAUGCUGGUGGGUUCAUCUCCCGGGUCAUGCACACCCAUGCAAGUGCAGGCAGGUGAACACACCGAUCAUUGCUGCACAAGAGAGGUAUCCAUGAACCGGCAGCUGCAUCACACCACUUCCCCUCCUGGAUUGGAUCGAAGGGAGCUCUUCAGUCUUUGCCGUCUUCUUCAUCACCAUCUUCUUCUUCCUGGCCACUUCAUUCUUCAUCGCCAUCUUCUUCUUCCUCGCCACUUCAUCUCCUAUAGCAUGCAUGAUCGAUCGUCGUUGAUUAAUGUUCAAGAUGUAGCUAUUUGAGUCAUGCAAGAGAGGGAAAAAAAAAGCUAAGGGUCGUAGCUAAAUGCUAGCUGAUGGAUCGUCGUGUUAUAGAUUUCUGCUAGCAACACAAAUGAACUUGAGUUGUUGAGU